rnacentral:rRNA from 1 species
UAGGGAAUCUUCGGCAAUGGGGGCAACCCUGACCGAGCAACGCCGCGUGAGUGAAGAAGGUUUUCGGAUCGUAAAGCUAUGUUGUAAGAGAAGAACGUGUGUGAGAGUGGAAAGUUCACACAGUGACGGUAACUUACCAGAAAGGGACGGCUAACUACGUGCCAGCAGCCGCGGUAAUACGUAGGUCCCGAGCGUUGUCCGGAUUUAUUGGGCGUAAAGCGAGCGCAGGCGGUUUAAUAAGUCUGAAGUUAAAGGCAGUGGCUUAACCAUAGUUCGCUUUGGAAACUGUUGAACUUGAGUGAAGAAGCGGAGAGUGGAAUUCCAUGUGUAGCGGAGAAAUGCGUAGAUAUAUGGAGGAACAACGGUGGCGAAAGCGGCUCUCUGGUCUGUAACUGACGCUGAGGCUCGAAAGCGUGGGGAGCAAACAGG